rnacentral:rRNA from 1 species
AAGCUUGCUUCUCUUGAGAGCGGCGGACGGGUGAGUAAUGCCUAGGAAUCUGCCUGGUAGUGGGGGAUAACGCUCGGAAACGGACGCUAAUACCGCAUACGUCCUACGGGAGAAAGCAGGGGACCUUCGGGCCUUGCGCUAUCAGAUGAGCCUAGGUCGGAUUAGCUAGUUGGUGAGGUAAUGGCUCACCAAGGCGACGAUCCGUAACUGGUCUGAGAGGAUGAUCAGUCACACUGGAACUGAGACACGGUCCAGACUCCUACGGGAGGCAGCAGUGGGGAAUAUUGGACAAUGGGCGAAAGCCUGAUCCAGCCAUGCCGCGUGUGUGAAGAAGGUCUUCGGAUUGUAAAGCACUUUAAGUUGGGAGGAAGGGCAGUAAAUUAAUACUUUGCUGUUUUGACGUUACCGACAGAAUAAGCACCGGCUAACUCUGUGCCAGCAGCCGCGGUAAUACAGAGGGUGCAAGCGUUAAUCGGAAUUACUGGGCGUAAAGCGCGCGUAGGUGGUUCGUUAAGUUGGAUGUGAAAUCCCCGGGCUCAACCUGGGAACUGCAUUC